UCGAGGCCUUGACGGAUUACUCCCUGCGCGUAAAAAAGUUUCACUUCAAUAAUAUAUUUCGGGUAUUAGCUGUAUUGAUACAACUAAAAUAAAUUACAGUGGAAAUUAAUAUUAGUGUAUAAUUUGUAUUAAAAAAAAAAAAAAACAAGUGAACAUUUUCUAUAAAUUUCUUUAACUCUUCUUAUGUUAAUAUUAUACAUCUAAACAUUUUUACUUUGAAUCUCGGAAGAAGACUGAAGAGAAAGACUAUGUUUCUGUGCUGAAAGGGUUGUACACAUACCUAGGUCACGCCAUCCCCCCACCAGCGUGCUAGCGAUAGCCAGGCAGACGAAUCACCCUAUACGAGCGCCCGCUCAACGCUGAAUAUAAUAUGAGCUCCUGGUCGGCGAAAUGCGCGUAUUACGUGUGCAGGACAAAUAUAUUGUCGGCGCGAAAAACCGCGUCGGCGUGUCGGCCACCCGGUAAAAGUAUGUGGCGCGCUCGCUUCAAAAGGGCCCCUUGCGGCAUUUCUUUUCUCGCAAAGGUUUUCGUUUGGCGAUUGUGGCGUCAUGGGACCCUGGUACCGGAAAACAGUAUCGCCGACGCGGUCGAACUUUUACCGGAAAAGUUUCCCUCAAAAGGGUUUUCCGCCCACGGCUCACACGUGAUUUUCCAUGGCGUUUAUGCACCGCUGCUCCACUUGGCGACCAUGAAGGGUCGCGACCGCGACUCCACCGCGUACUUAUACACUUAUUAAUUGUCCAUUGUAGUUUUUAACAUAUUUAAUUCAUCUCUAUUACAAGGUUUUAAUAUA